rnacentral:rRNA from 1 species
AUGUCCACCUCCACCGCACCCAUCCAAUCCAACCUCAACUACAACACCACUGAGCCACUUACUCGAACGAAUUAUGUCCUUUGGAAAGCCCAAGCAAGAUCCCAAAUAAUGGGCGUCGGCUUGUACAACUACAUCGACAACACCAUUGAGGAGCCUCGCAAGAUCAUCACCACCAAAGACAAAGACGGCAAGGACCAGGUCAUCCCCAACCAUGCCUAUGCACCCUAG